GUCUGUCUGAAUACUCGCUUCUGAUUGGCUGUCAGAUAUGCAUUAAAACCGUUUAAUGCACAGGUAGUUCCAAGUCAGUUUAAUCACUGUUCUAUAUUAAUGCGCUGCUUUAAUUGAUGCACACACACUACACCACUCAUACAUAAACACUGUGAGAGGGAGAGAGGUCGGAGAUUGCAGAUCGCACUGUGCACACACAGAAACAUAUUGCUGGCACUGCCCCGCUACUUCUAUUAAUAAAAUAGCAUAGAUACUAGAUCACUACAUUAUCUUCCUCAGCAACAAGGGAAAAUCGAAGUAACUAAACAGCUUCAUUGUUUGUAGAGAGAGACUCACAGAUGCAGGUAAUUUACACACAAAACUGUCAUCUCUCUCUCAAUCUAUAAUUCAUUCAAAUAAAUGUGGUCUUUCCGCACUAUUUCAUCUCUGUAUCUGAUUUGAAGCGGGCAGAAUGCUAGAGCUAACGAACCGUAACUGACAAAAAUAACCAUCAUUGUUACCCUUCCAGUUAAAUAUUGUGCUGCUAACAUCAUAAACAUACUUACAUCGGACUUGUUUCCAGUGCGGCUCUCCGCUCUCUCAGCUGGGCCUGCUUCUCCACCACGUCACGGAUCUGCUUCUCCACGGCCUCCAGCUCGAGCUACACCAAAUGCAGCUUGAGCAUCUCCUCACCUGCACUCAAUGGCAGACACACAUCUGCCAUUAAAGCAAGUAACAGCUGCAGGGGUGUAUCAGGCAGAGCUGAACCAGGAGAAGGGGACAAGUUGGGACAAGAGCCUAAAGUUCACUGAAUAGGUGGAAUCAAAUUGUGGGUGAUAAGGCUUUUCUUAUGUUGUCACGGAAAAAAAUAAAAGAAAAAAAGAGAUUAGUUUAGAAAAGAACAUGAUCUUGUUGGUUUGUGUUGAGUUCAGAAUAGAACUGCUGAAGGAAAUAUAAGGCUGUAUGCAUUAUGUUAACUCUUUAUAGAGAAUACAAAAGAAUGUCUUAUCUUUUAAGAUAAACUCUAGCCCAUAUAGACGUGGAAGGACACUGUGAUCAAACAGGUUGCACUAAGCAAAUCCAUGACAUUAUAUUACAUCAUAUCUAAGCUUAAACAGAAUGACAAGGAAUACACUAAAUGUUACAUAGGGGAACAACAUUUUUUAUAUGCUAUAAUAAAACGCAAAUACUUUUGUUGUUGUUG
rnacentral:lncRNA from 1 species